CCUAGUGACAGGUGCUGCAUGGCUGUCGUCAGCUCGUGUCGUGAGAUGUUCGGUUAAGUCCGGCAACGAGCGCAACCCACGUCCCUAGUUGCCAGCAUUCAGUUGGGCACUCUAUGGAAACUGCCGAUGAUAAGUCGGAGGAAGGUGUGGAUGACGUCAAGUCCUCAUGGCCCUUACGGGUUGGGCUACACACGUGCUACAAUGGUGGUGACAGUGGGUUAAUCCCCAAAAGCCAUCUCAGUUCGGAUUGUCCUCUGCAACUCGAGGGCAUGAAGUUGGAAUCGCUAGUAAUCGCG
rnacentral:ncRNA from 1 species